AGGGCACCACCAGGAGUGGAGCCUGCGGCUUAAUUUGACUCAACACGGGAAAACUCACCCGGCCUGGACACUGGAAGGAUUGACAGAUUGAGAGCUCUUUCUUGAUUCAGUGGGUGGUGGUGCAUGGCCGUUCUUAGUUGGUGGAGUGAUUUGUCUGGUUAAUUCCGAUAACGAACGAGACUCUAGCCUACUAAAUAGAUCGUCGGCUUACAAGCGCCGGCGAGACUUCUUAGAGGGACAGGCGGUGAUUCAACCGCACGAAACAGAGCAAUAACAGGUCUGUGAUGCCCUUAGAUGUCCGGGGCCGCACGCGCGCUACACUGAAGUGAUCAGCGUGCUUUUUCAACCUACUCUGUCAAGAGUGGGGAACCCAAUGAACCUUCUUCGUGAUUGGGAUAGGGGAUUGUAAUUAUUCCCCUUGAACGAGGAAUUCCCAGUAAGCGCGAGUCAUAAGCUCGCGUUGAUUACGUCCCUGCCCUUUGUACACACCGCCCGUCGCUACUACCGAUUGAAUGUUUU
rnacentral:rRNA from 1 species